ACAUAAGAACUUGAAAUUAAGCAUAGGAGGUAAAGUCGAUAUAUGGAUGAACACAGCCAUGUUUACAAAUCUCGAAAUCAGACAAGAGUAACAGGAGUACAAUAAAUGAGCGAGGAGCAUGCUUCUAUUAAUGGGGCAAAAAAGUGUAUACUCUCCACAAACCUGUGAUUUAAAAAUCUACAGCCGACUGAACCAAUUUUUAGGUUCAAAAGUAUCAAAGAAAACAGAGGAGCGUAAGCUUACUACUAACAAUAAGUCUCUUGGGGACAGUUGCAGUCAUCGCCGACUUGUAUCUUAAGUUGGAACCUAACAUGUUUGUCUUCAUCAAGCACAGACAUUAUAUUCUAGUACCAGAAUUGUAGAGUCUCUUAUCAAGAUGCGAAACAAAAGCGUAGCAUAUUCAGCUACUGUUUAUAGCAAACAGAGACGAAGCAACAGGCGAUACUACGCAAAAAAAAACAGAGCAAUCAAAGAUAGACCUUUUUAAAAUCACA